rnacentral:rRNA from 1 species
ACGGGAGGCAGCAGUGGGGAAUAUUGCACAAUGGGGGAAACCCUGAUGCAGCGACGCCGCGUGAGUGAAGAAGUAUUUCGGUAUGUAAAGCUCUAUCAGCAAGGAAGAAAAUGACGGUACUUGACUAAGAAGCCCCGGCUAACUACGUGCCAGCAGCCGCGGUAAUACGUAGGGGGCAAGCGUUAUCCGGAUUUAUUGGGUUUAAAGGGAGCGCAGGCGGAGAGGCAAGCCAGCCGUAAAAUCGUUGAGCUCAACUCAAUCUCGCGGUUGGAACUGCUUCCCUUGAGUGCACGAGAGGAUGGUGGAAUUCGUGGUGUAGCGGUGAAAUGCAUAGAUAUCACGAAGAACUCCGAUUGCGAAGGCAGCCAUCUGGCGUGUUACUGACGCUCAUGCUCGAAGGCGCGGGUAUCAAACAGGAUUAGAUACCCUGGUA